UAACCAAGACGUCCAUAGAAUCGUGCUAAAUUCAGGUCACACUCUACGUAGGGCCCCGUGCGAGGAGCCGGGCAACAUUCUUAGGCUUUUCUCCCCGUUACCAGUAAAAGCCCAGGGCCUCGCACACACCGGAGUUCAGUGAGCAGUUCUGGAGGAGGUGCAGCUAGAAGAAAGUCAUGAUUCGCCUGGAUCGUGUUACGCAACAGGGAAGGAAACGGAAGAACGCACGCGGCCGGGGACGGGCCGUCGCGGGGCCGCGCACGGGGCGAGCGAGCGUCGGUUUCGGGGAGAGUCAGCCCCGGCUGAGGGCGGAGCAGGCCGUGAGGGCGGCAGGCCGGGGGCGACGAAGGCCUGUAGUUGACUGAAGCGAAGCGGGACACUUCGUCACGUCGUGAGGGUCGCCGGUUUUCUGUGUGGGGGUUAACCUCGAGGGCUCACGGCGCAACUAAGGAAAUUCGUUGGGAGGCGACUGGAAAGACUUUAGGCCCGACUUCGUGCUGGCCCGGGCCAGAGCGUCAGCGGCGCGGCGCUCGGCCCCCGUCGGACGUCACGUCACGCAAGAGCCCGCGGAGCGGCGCGGACGCCCCAACCCCCCGGGCCUCUCGUCAGGCGCACGACGGUCCGCAAGUUCCUGCCGGCGCGGCCCCGGCGCUCCCCCCGACUUCCGGUUACUUUCUGCACGGGGGCCCUCCUGUGCGUCGGGCCUGCUCGCGGUGUGACGUCCUCACAGAAGGCUGCCAGAACAGGGCCUCAGUAAAAAAGUUUCAAACAUGGAAAUGGACAGAAAAGUACAACGAGCAAGUCUAACUUAAAUAAUCACUUAAACUUAAGUCGUGGAAGGAACGUUUAUUAUAAUAGAAGUACUUGAAAUUACAUGGGAAAAAGCUACGACAAUUGGCAGAUUAUGAUUCAAGCACCUGUAAAUUUUUAUGACACUGUAAUGUUUUAAAAAAUGUAAGAGUGGGGACUCCAUAUGCUAUUCAGUUUAGGAUAAAUUAAUAAAAUUCUGCAUAUUAUUAUCUACCUUAGUGAU
rnacentral:lncRNA from 12 species